CAUUCAUGGAUUGAAGGAAUACAGUGUCUCACAAACAGUGGAACAUUGUUCCUGAGAGAUUUGGGUGAGAGUUGUCCCCAGAAUCCAGCAAACCAUGAGGUUGGCAGUUCUAAGUGCGCUGAAGCACUAAGGACCAGUAUAAUAUUUCACACAGGAAGCCAUCCCACUGACAUUCCAGGAGGACAUGAAGUGAUAUUUUCAGAUAGCUGAUGCCUAUAUACCAGGAAGUUCCCAGCAUUUUAUAGUUAUCAGCUUCUUAAAGCUCACAACAUUCUGUGAGGUACUGUCACUGCCCUCAUCUUAAAGACGAGGAGAUUGAUGUGGAGGUUCUUGUUCAUUCUUGCUCAUGAAACCUUUCUGUAUACCGGAAGUGCAUAAUAGAGGAAAGGCUCAGUGGAAUGGAGGAAGAGAGAUAAUCAUAGAAACCCACAUUGAGCUAAAUGACCCCUGGGAUGCAAUUUGAAGAUGAGUAUUCCAAAUUAUUUUUUCUCUGUCCAGAUGAUAGACUAAUAAGGGAAUCAAUCAAUCAGUCAAUCAAACUCAAUCAAUAAGAACCGAGCAAGGCUCAUCUGAGCAAUGAUGGAUGGUACUUGAAAGUGAAUUAGUGACUGAUUUGGAGAGAUUUCAGAGAGGUAGAGCUAACAGUGGCAAAUCAAGUUAACUUGUAUAUAUUGCUGACAGGAUGUGGGCUGGGCAAUAGCAAAUUCUUUCCAAUAGCCUCCAACUGCUUGUGAAGCUGACCUAGAGGCUGCUUCAAAUCUGAUAGAUUGAAACAAUUCCAUCUGAAAUCAUUUUUUCAGCCUUGUAAUUUUUGUAAUAAUAUGUAUCAAGCCUAGAAACCUGCAUUUAAGCAUCUGAAUACAUCUGAACAGAGGCAAACAAUUCCCAACAAUGCCUCCAUGACAAUAUGCUGUUGGUUGCUAAUUGGAAAAAAGCACAAGUAGUAAUUGGAAGGCAUUCUGUUGCUUGCUGGAAGGCUUCUCCCCUAAAUGGUUAAAAUAUUCAGCUUUAUAGGGUAACAACCUGAUUUAAAUUUUUGGAGUGUUGCGUUAGCAAUGCAUAUUUACUUUUUUUUUUUUUUUUUUCAGUCAUGUAGGAUGUGUGCACCAGCUUAAAAAUCAAGUCAUGCUCCAAAUGGUUACUAAUAUGGCCACUCCUGGGACCUCCUCUUUACUCCCUCUAGAGAUGAAAUCCCUCUCGUGUCAAUUCACCUCAAUGCCUAUCUAAGCCACUGCCCUUCCUCCCAGUCCUUUUCAGGCCAUGGUGCCAGCAGGCUCUUUUCCCCAGGUGUUGACAAUCAACCCUUCAGCAAGAUGAUUGCCAAACAGAAGAGGAACAUUUUGUAAUGCAUCCUGAAAGAAUGUCAAACCCAGACUUUUAGAAAAUUCAGAAAUGAGGAUUACAGCACCUAUUAAUGCAUAAUAAUGUGGAAUGUGGACUGAAGAUACUGCCAAGAGGUGCUGACCCAGAGGACCAUUUCAGAGUCUACUCCAGAGGACUUCCUGUCUCUUCCCCUUGUUACCUUUCCUUCUUUCCAGACUGGCAGUGGUAUGGAAUGCAAUCUUUCUAAUUUGUUUCCCCUUUCA